rnacentral:rRNA from 1 species
UCGAGUUUUGACUGGGUUGUAGCUGGCCUUCCGAGGCAUGUGCACGCCCUGCUCAUCCACUCUACACCUGUGCACUUACUGUGGGUUUCAGAUCGCAGAGCAAGUCUUCUAUAGGCUUGUGAACCGCCUGGACCUGCGUUUAUUACAAAUACUAUAAAGUACUAGAAUGUGUAUUGCGAUGUAACGCAUCUAUAUACAACUUUCAGCAACGGAUCUCUUGGCUCUCGCAUCGAUGAAGAACGCAGCGAAAUGCGAUAAGUAAUGUGAAUUGCAGAAUUCAGUGAAUCAUCGAAUCUUUGAACGCACCUUGCGCUCCUUGGUAUUCCGAGGAGCAUGCCUGUUUGAGUGUCGUGAAAUCUUCAACCUACAAGCCUUUGCGGGUUUGUUAGGCUUGGUUAUGGAGGUUUGUCGGCCUUGCGGUCGGCUCCUCUUAAAUGCAUUAGCUUGAUUUCUUGCGAAUCGGCUCUCGGUGUGAUAGUUGUCUACGCCGCGACCGUGAAGCAGUUUGGCAAGCUUCUAACCGUCUCAUGAGAGACAGCUUCUUGACAUCUGACCUCAAAAUCAGGUAGGACUUCCCGCUGAACUUAAGUCAUAUCA